CGGGAGUGGAGCCGGGCAUCUGCUCAGGGCAGAGGCUGCGGAUGGAGGCGAGGAAGAUGGCAGAGCGCUAGGUGCUGCUCCCAACUGUCCAGCCAGGCUCACCAGCCUCGCCUCCCCUCCCCUGCUCACCGGACACGGUGCUCAGCUUCGAGGUGGACGUGGUGCACAUCAGGCCAGCCUGACUGCACAGCUCUAGGCCCAGAGGGACUGAAGACUGACCUACCCUGUGACUGAAUUUUGCAAUGAAACCUUAUUGGGUUGUUAUACACCACUGCAACCGGGCACCUUAAAAUUAGAUGGAAGAAACAGAAUGUUACCAGAGGAUGUGCUGACUGGAGGAAAAGACUCUCCUGCAGGCAGCAGGAGCUGAAGAUCUGCCGUGCAGUUAGACCAUGGCCUUUGUCACAGGUGUCACUGCUGUCUGUGGUUCACGUUCCUCGUCUACAAAACUCCCAGAGAGUGUUUGUCAAGUUCACUUGCAGGUCUGAGAAGCCAUUGCAGUGAUUUGCUUUUCACGUCAUGGCCCGAAGUUAGCAGAAACGGAAAGACUGAUGUGCAGGAUGAAUUUAUUGGCCUUAAGCCACUAAUUACAGAACAAUAUGUUGGCAGAACCUGAAAUGCUUAGAAGAAGAAAUCCGAAGCUCUUAAGGAGAUUGGAAGGAAGAUUUUCAUUUUAAAAGGCAGUGGAAUUUUAAAUGAAACACGAUUGGGAGAUGAUUGUAUUCUAGUUUAAAGUCAUCCCAGGCGUUGUGUUAUUAUAGACUUUGAAUCAGUCAUUUUGUGCAAGAAUUAUACUUAAACCUGGUUUCAUUACACUUUUCUUCAGAAAUCUUCAGAUUACAAAAUGAAUCUUCAUUAUGAUAAUAACUGACGGAAAGCUAGAUUUAGAAAUGAGAAUAGUUAACAUCCUGAGAGAAAGAAUAGGCCUGUAUCGACAAUUACUUGGAAUACAUCUGUAUUUGCCGUGCAAAGCAAGUAGUUUCUCCUAUAAUUAUUUCUUGAAUUGGAUUGGUGUAGCCAGUUCACGAGAAGUUUUUAAUCCAGUCCAACAAAAUCAAUACAGAUGAAUCAACACAUUGGCAUGGAAUAUAUCUGAGAGAUUUAAAGGAAUCCGAAGAGAAAACGCUUUAUGAGGCAAAAUCUAUAAUUUAUAUAUAAAAAUCUUAAUGACCCUAUUUCAAAUUUGAUUAUCAAUUUAAUUCAUCUUAAGGAUUUAUUUAGCCUCACCUCCCUGGUGGAUAAACUAUAGAUGUUUAUAAACAGGAGAAGAAAAAACAAAACUUUGAACAUCUAACUAAAUGACAAAUUAGAAAAAAUAGGUUGUGAUUUUUUUCACUCAUCCAAUGGCAAAUCAUGCUAAUUUAGGUUAUAUAAAUAAAAAAGGACCCAGUUUAUACAAUCUAUUCAAUUUUUAAAGAGUCACUUGGAGGCUCCACAAAGAAUUAGGGUUAAAUAUGCUAUAUCCGUGUAACAUAAAUAGUUUUUUCCCCUGAGAAAGUGGCUUAGAGCCAGAGAAUAGAAGGCAAGGGUACAAGCUAUUCUGGGCUAAAGAGACAUGUCACCCUUUGCAUUGGUAGAAAGUUAUCAGGUUAGUUUUAUGUUUGGUAAAAAGCAAAACGACGGAAUUUUUUUUAAGCAGUUAAAUGUUUAAUAGCUAUCGACGCUGGUAGCAGGAACCGUCUUAGUUUCAGACGUGGUAUCCUAAGGUGUUCACGUAUGGUAAUGCAGCAACCGAAAGAGCUAGCGCAAUUAAUGAAAAGAAACAAACAGACAUUUACUCAGAAGAAUUCUUUCCAAAAUCUAAAGCUGUAAAAUAGACAGAAGUGGGUAUAAACUUUUAGGCUUAAAAGCCUAAAAAAUAAACUAAAUAGAAAUCAAUUCUAAACAUAUAGAAUCAUGAAUGACACAGAUGAGGUAAACAGUUUUUUCCUACAAAAAAAAUCUCAAAAUGGUAGGAUAAGAUAUUUCAAAUCUUAGCAAUGAAUAAAAAUAAGGAAAUUUUACUUGAUACAAUAGCUAAUACGACUUAGGGACUCUUAAAGGUUAACAGGUACAGAGAAUACAAGUUAAUAGAAAGGAUUACAGAUUUCUUCUUUUAUCAAAAAUCCACAUAUAAUUUAUUGUACCUGUGUUCACAGUAAGUUCAAUAAAC
rnacentral:lncRNA from 1 species